rnacentral:rRNA from 1 species
UGAAAUAACGCACUAAAGUAAAUAAAAGCAGAGACUACAUCUCGUACCUUUUGCAUCAUGAUCUAGCCAGUAACCUCAAGCAAAGAGACCUCUAGUUUGAACCCCCGAAACCGGACGAGCUACUCCGGGGCAGCCUAUUAUAGGGCCAACCCGUCUCUGUGGCAAAAGAGUGGGAAGACCCCCGAGUAGAGGUGAAAGACCUACCGAGUCAGGUUAUAGCUGGUUGCCCAAGAAAUGAAUAGAAGUUCAGCCCCGCUGCGCCCUCGCCCACAACAGUUUUACUUAAACAAGGCACAAAGGACACCCGCGGGAGUUAGUCAAGGGAGGUACAGCUCCCUUAACAAAGGACACAACCUUAAACAGGAGGCUAAGGAAUAUAUUAAACUAAGGCCCUAGGUUUCAGUGGGCCUAAAAGCAGCCAUCUGAACAGAAAGCGUUAAAGCUCAGACCAACCCAAGCCUAUUAUAACAUUAAAAUCUCCAAAGCCCCUAGUAUUACUGGGCCAUCCUAUGCCCCCAUAGGAGGGACCAUGCUAGAACGAGUAAUAAGAAGAAAGACCUUCUCCCAGCACAUGUGUAAGUCGAAUCGGACACCCCAUCGACAAUUAACGAACCCAACAAAAGAGGGCAAUGCACCACCGCCACCCCAGGCCGAGAAGACCAUGUAAUAGAACAUCGUUACCCCCACACAGGAGUGCUUAAAUCAAGGGAAAGACUUAAAGGAUAAAAAGGAACUCGGCAAACCUAAACCCCGCCUGUUUACCAAAAACAUCGCCUCCUGCCACCACUAAUUAUAGGAGGUCCCGCCUGCCCUGUGACCAAAAGUUUAACGGCCGCGGUAUUUUAACCGUGCAAAGGUAGCGCAAUCAAUUGUCUUUUAAAUGGAGACCUGUAUGAAUGGCAUAACGAGGGUUUAACUGUCUCUUUUUCCCGGUCAAUGAAACUGAUCUGCCCGUGCAGAAGCGGGUAUACACACACAAGACGAGAAGACCCUAUGGAGCUUUAGACGCCAACCAACCACGAAAAGCGGCCGCUAACUGGACCCUCAAACAACGUGAUUAUGGCCACAAGCGUCUUCGGUUGGGGCGACCACGGGAGAUAACAAAGCUCCCGAGUGGAUAGGGGGACACCCUAAAACCCAGAGCCACAGCUCUAAGUCACAAAACAUUUGACCAAUAAUGAUCCGGCUUUAUGCCGACCAACGAACCAAGUUACCCUAGGGAUAACAGCGCAAUCCCCUCCCAGAGUCCAUAUCGACGAGGGGGUUUACGACCUCGAUGUUGGAUCAGGACAUCCUAAUGGUGCAGCCGCUAUUAA